UUUCUGUAAUCACAUUAUGUUUAUUCAUUUUCUAUAAUCAGGGAUGGUAGCGGUAGGGUAUCCACGAAAAUUACCCCACACGAACCUUAAUGUUUCCAGAUUUUCACAUAAGUUGAUCAUAUAAAGUGAUUCAGUGCCCGAAAUAUCCACACCUUAUGCGGCCUUAUCCCUUCAUUUUCCUUGAUCAGUAAAGCAUAGGGAUGGCAGCUGUAGGGUACCCAUGAAAAUCAUGUACUCAAACCUUAAUGUUUCCGGAUUUUCAUAUAAGUUGAUCAUAUAAAGUGAUUCAGUGUCCGAAACAUCCACACCUUAUGCAGCCUUAUCCCUUCAUUUUCCGUGAUCAGUAAAGCAUAGGAAUGGCAUCGGUAGGUACCCACGAAAAUCACCUACCCGAACCUUAAUGUUUCCGGGUAGGGCACCUGCGAAAAUCGCCUUACUUGAACCUGAAUGUUUCUUCACUGCACCUAAU
rnacentral:lncRNA from 1 species